ensembl:lncRNA
GGCUUGAAGUGGCCAUUUUCUUAUGUGGUUAAACAAAUUAUUUCUCUACCUAGAAGGUGUUUAAUUGGUGCCAAUUGAGGAGAAGGAGGAAACAGUGCUGUGACUUCCAGGAGUGAGAGUCAGGAGGCUUCAGCCAAGGAAGAGGAAAGUUGCAUUGACUUCUGAGAGGUCUUUCCCACCUAAAAAAAUUCACUUUAUUUAAAAUAUGUAUUAAGCGAGAGAGAGAAGAGGAAGUGGGAGCCAGCCAAAAGAGGCCAGAGGGUAAUUAACAGCUGCCGGAUGUACCACGGCCCUGCCGGCCAUCACUAAGGACUGUUCUCAGAUGAGCACCCGUUUCAUCAGCUGCCGGAUGUACCACGGCCCUGCCGGCCAUCACUAAGGACUGUUCUCAGAUGAGCACCCGUUUCAUCUGGUGGUAAUUCCCGUUGAUCAUUAUAAAUUAUUUAAGCCACAAAUGCUGGGCCACCCAUUAAACCAAGAAUGGGGAAGGUUGGCCAAAAUUUGCCUCUGGGAAGGGUCCUACUCCCCUGAAUUCGGUGGAAAUAGGAGUGAGAAGUAAGAGAGCGUUUAUAUCCAGGAACGUUCCUACUAGGAGUGUGAGUGAAGGCCUGUUUAGAUCCAGGUGGGCCAGAAGCUGAGGUGGAAGCCCGCCAGGUUCCUCUGUCCAAGGGAUUCUCCAUGCAAGAAUACUCGAGUGGGCUGCCAUGCCCUCCUCCAGGGAAUCUUCCUGACCCAGGGAUCGAACCCGCGUCCCUUGCAUCUCCUACACUGGCGGGCGAGUCCUUCACCCAGGGAUGGAACCCGCGUCUCUCACAUCUCCUGCACUGGCGGGCGAGUCCUUCACCCAGGGAUGGAACCCGCAUCUCUUACGUCUCCUGCACUGGCGGGCGAGUCCUUCACCCAGGGAUGGAACCCGUGUCUCUCACGUCUCCUGCACUGGCGGGCGGGUCCUUCACCCAGGGAUCGAACCCGCGUCUCUUGCGUCUCCUGCACUGGCGGGCGGGUCCUUCAACACUAGCGCCCCUGGGAAGUCCACUCCAGUGUUUACAUCAUGCUACUUAAGACUCCAUCUCUUUAGAGUCAUUCUUGUUUUCCUGCUGGCCUUGAAGGAAUAAGCAGCCAUGCUGUGCAUGUCAGAAGGAAGAUUCACAUGCCAGGAAAAUGCAGGGAACCUGCAGGAACUGACAACCUCAGUCCGAUAACCCCAAGGAACUGAAUUCUGCCAACACCCUGAAUGAGCUUGGGAGCAGAACCUUCCCCAAUCAAGUCUUCAGAUGAGAGUGCAGCCUGGCCAACACCUGGGUUACAGCCUGGUGAGACCCUGAAGCAGAGAACCAGCUCAGCAGGCUUCGCCGCCUGACCCACAGAAGUGUGCCUAGAUUCUUAUCCCUGCACAGGACAAUAAAACAGCAGAUGAUCCGGUAACAGUGACAAGAACAAAAUCCCACCUACAACUUAAAAAACAUGAAGUGAAUAUUCUUUUCCAUUAUGUGCAUAAUGAGGUAUUAAAUACAUUUCCCUGUGCUAUAAGGUAGGAACACAGAUGGCUUUUUUCUGACACUGACUUGAAAAGCAUCCCUGAAGCAACCAGACAGAGCCGUUGUGAGAUUCAGGUUCUGCUGGAAGUCCAGCACGAUGACUGGGGAAGUUUCAGCUAGCUGUGGUGGUAGAAUGGCCCUCCCUCAAAACCAAGUGGCUAAAAAGAACUGUUGACUAUUAGUGACAAGACAAUGCAUCUGCCGGAUGGACCCACUGAUCUGGGCUGAGCUCUGCCCACCUCCGCCGGGCUUAUUGGCAUCCCUUUGGUCAGCUGGAGGGCUGGGUCCGCCCACCUCCGCUGGGCUUACUGGAAUCCCUUUGGUCAGCCAUGGCCCCUUUUGGCCAUGGCUGGGACACAUCAGCUUUGCUCCACAUGGCCUUUGAUCCUGCCCGCAGGUCAGUCUGGAUUUAUCCACAUGGCAGCAGCAAGGUUCCAAUAGAGUGGAAGCAUGGAAGGUCUCUUAAGCUCCGGAGUGAACUGGAUCGUUGUCACUUUGACCUCAUCAUACCGACAAAAUCAAGCCCAGAUUCCAGAGGAAGGGAAAUAGACAAUCCUCCUGGUGGGAGGAGCUACCAACUCAUCUUGGAUGCAGGAGGGAAAGAAUGGAAGCCAGAUUUGCAUCCAUGUACCAAAGGGAACUUGAGUAUUCUCAGCUCGCAUGGUAAACACCUUAUUUUUAGGGGGGAGAGUAGGAUAAAAAUAAAUCUUAUGUGUGAAAGAAGUUCCCAUACCCAAUUUAGAGACAAUCUGGUUUAUUAAAAUAGAAGCAUCUCCCCCCAAUUUUCUUUUUUAGUUCUCUUAUUUCUACCAUUUGUUGACUAUUCCACCCAAUGUAGAGAGAAGCUUUCAUAUUUAAUUUGUUUUUUGUUUUGUUUUGUUUUGAUUAUACUUGAAUUAUUUUUGGCUUUGUUUGUUAAUAUAUUAUUGUGGAAUUUAGGUGUCUUAAAACACGAGAAUAUUUUCUAUUCUUCUGAGUUUUAUUUUUAGGUAUCUUAAAAUGAAUUGCUAUCCAUAGUGGAAUACUUGAAAUCAUUGUGUGAAAAGGUGUGAUUCAGUUUUCACUUCUUCAAGAAACAUUGUUGAGUGAGUGCCUCUUGGGUACUUAAGAAGCUGGGCUAGUUGCUCAAGAUACAGUAAAGAACAAGGCACACAAAAUCCCUGCGCUCAGUGAAGUGUGAACUUGACUGGGGUGGGGUCAGGGUACAGAUAGGAAGCCAGCAAACAAGCAAAUAAAAGAGUCAGCAAACCAUGACUGAUUAUACGAAGUGCUGAGAAGGAUAAAGCUGGACGCUGGGGAGCUUGAUUUAAUCAGAGACCUCCACCUCCACUUACAGGAGAUUGGAGGAGGUAAAAGUGAAGCAGAGGCUCUCUUUGGGAAAAGAAGACAGCAGUGCAAAGGGCCAGGGGCGGAGCGGUCCAGAGUGGGCAGACCUGGAUGAGCCUCAAGACGCCUUCAUGGAGAGUUUCAGGGACAGAAUCCAGUGUCCCAAGUGCCAUCAGCUCUCUGCUUCUGUCCAUCUGGAGUCAUCAGUCUUUGGAGUGCUUUCCUUCCCAGGGGCAGCAGUUGCCUCUCUCUCAGAGGGCUGCCUUCAGACCUCCAGAAUUCACUUUUCCUGAAAGUCCCAAGAGCUCUGAGUCCUGGGAGUGGACAUUCUUUGGGGCAGCCCUUUAGCAAUAUUGAUGAGAGUGGGGGUAUCAGUUCCCCAACUCCCUUGCCAAUGGGGUACCUCCCAGACCUCCCCUGCAGAAAUAAGCCAAAGUUGUGUUCUUGCCUGGAGAAUCCCAGGGACGGGGGAGCCUGGUGGGCUGCUGUCUGUGGGGUCACACAGAGUCAGACACGACUGAAGUGACUUAGCAGCAGCAGCAGUCCUAAGUGGGACUUUUCUUGAUUUCUCACCCUUGCUGGAUUUUCUUCUUUUUCUGUCCCACCUCCAUCACUCUCCUACUGGCUUUUCCUGGAACGUUUUCUAAUAAGUGACACUCUCAGGGAUUCUUGUCCUUGGAGGUGAUUCCAAGGUAAGGCAACCCUGGGCAGCCAGUGGCAUUGGAGCAAAAUGAAUGAAGAACGAGGUAUGAGAUAGGGUUCCAGAGACAGGUCAGGCACUGUGUAGCAAGUACUUGUACCCCUGUACAAGCAAGCAGGAAAUUGCAUUACCUAACGUACGUAUGCAAAAGCAUCACCCUGUGGGCAAUGGCCGGAGAGAGAAUUGGUUGGGUGAGGGAAAGAGUAAAACCUCAAACCAAAUUCAAAGCCAGUAAUCCUCCCUGUGCUGACAUCUCUACCAAUUUCUUUUUAUCUUUUCAAUUGGGAUAAAACGAUCUACCCUUUGGCUAUGCCUCAAAGAUGGUGUGAGGAUGAAAAGAUGAUUUGCAUAAACUUAUCGCUCGCUGCAAAAGAUUUGCCCAAUAAAAUCCACUAUUAUUAUUGAUAAAAAUAAAAAUAGCAAUGCAAGCUCAUAGCCAAUCUCUGGAGAAUUUUCAUACAUUAAUGGGAAAAUUAAGUGUUAUACUGAAGACGGGAGCAACUGUUGCUAAGUUUCUCUGUUGUUUGGACCAUUGUUGCACCUUUGAAUGUGUGCAGAAACAAAAUAGCUGACGCAAAUAUUUGUGACCCAACCUGGUUCAGCCUGACUUAGAGAUAAGGAUCUUUUGAAAAAUGGCAGCAAUGAAACCAGCAUUCCAGGUUUUUCCUUUUAGGAGAAAGGGAUAGCUUAUUUAAAAAUGAAAAAAAAAAAAGUAUAAAUGGAGAUUUAAAAAUAUUGGUUUAUGUUCUAGAUACAGAUACACAUAAAUAAUCUCCAUACAAAUGAGUUCAUGUG